rnacentral:rRNA from 1 species
GUCAGCGGCGGACGGGUGAGUAACACGUGGGUAACCUGCCUGUAAGACUGGGAUAACUCCGGGAAACCGGGGCUAAUACCGGAUGCUUGAUUGAACCGCAUGGUUCAAUCAUAAAAGGUGGCUUUUAGCUACCACUUGCAGAUGGACCCGCGGCGCAUUAGCUAGUUGGUGAGGUAACGGCUCACCAAGGCGACGAUGCGUAGCCGACCUGAGAGGGUGAUCGGCCACACUGGGACUGAGACACGGCCCAGACUCCUACGGGAGGCAGCAGUAGGGAAUCUUCCGCAAUGGACGAAAGUCUGACGGAGCAACGCCGCGUGAGUGAUGAAGGUUUUCGGAUCGUAAAACUCUGUUGUUAGGGAAGAACAAGUACCGUUCGAAUAGGGCGGUACCUUGACGGUACCUAACCAGAAAGCCACGGCUAACUACGUGCCAGCAGCCGCGGUAAUACGUAGGUGGCAAGCGUUGUCCGGAAUUAUUGGGCGUAAAGCGCGCGCAGGCGGUUUCUUAAGUCUGAUGUGAAAGCCCCCGGCUCAACCGGGGAGGGUCAUUGGAAACUGGGGAACUUGAGUGCAGAAGAGGAGAGUGGAAUUCCACGUGUAGCGGUGAAAUGCGUAGAGAUGUGGAGGAACACCAGUGGCGAAGGCGACUCUCUGGUCUGUAACUGACGCUGAGGCGCGAA